rnacentral:tRNA from 1 species
GUCGGCGUGGCGGAACAGGCAGACGCAGGGGACUUAAAAUCCCCCGGUGGCAACACCGUGCGGGUUCGAUUCCCGCCGCCGGCACCA